AUGCAUCUUUGACAGACCUGGAGCAGUUACUGUCUGCUGCUAGGGUUUCCACUACAGAUGUAAGAAAAGGAAGUCCUUGUGCUUUCUGUCUGUCUGGUUGUGGCAGCCAAGAUUGAAUGGGGGAAUACAGGA
rnacentral:snoRNA from 1 species